rnacentral:lncRNA from 1 species
GCCCCAGGCUCAGCAGCCUGGCCCCGGCACAGCCUCGCAAGCCGCGGGUGUCUGCGCUGCCUUUGUUUGUGCUCCAAGCCAGAUGGGGCGAGCGGCGCAGGUGGGAUGUGGAGCAAUUCUUCCCAAGCCGGCACGCCCCUGACCCUCAGCUGCUCCCCGGGGAGAAUUACCAGCGGAGCUAUUCGCCUGCCUUCCCCUACCGUCACCGAUGUGCCAGGGCUGGCAAAUGGCCGCUCGCUUAGAGCCAGAUGCAAGCGGACGUCACAACUUAAUCUUAAGGAUCAGCAUCCCAGGCCUCUGUGCUGGCCGGUGGCAGUGACCGUGCCGAGGGGCAGAGCCUCCGGAUCUCCCACAGGAAUCAAGGCUUGGUUUACUGACAGCCCUCAUCACACAUCUCCCCGCACACGGUCACGAUCUGCUCCGACCAGAGCAAAAGCUGAGCGUUGUUUUGAGCUGGGCUUAAGCCGAGCGGGGCAAGCGAGAACAGGGAUCUUUGCAUCUACCUCUAGUAGGCACGGGUAGGACCGGGGACCCUUUCUCUCCAGCACGUGGCGGAGCCGGCGGGGGCGGCGCGGCGGGGCCGGUGCCGCUGCCGUGUCCCAGCCCCGCUCCCCGCGGGGCCGCGCUACUCACCGUACGGAGCCUCCAUCUUAGCGCUUAGCUGGGUGCUUACAUUGACCAUGUCGCGCCGGCUACCGCUACGGGGACUCGGGGCGAAAGGCGGAGGAAGUGUAGGAAUUAAAAAAAUAAAAUAAAAUUUAAAAAAAAAAAUAAAUAAAUA